UACGUAGGGGGCUAGCGUUGUCCGGAAUCAUUGGGCGUAAAGCGCGCGUAGGCGGCCAGAUAAGUCCGGUGUGAAAGUCACAGGCUCAACCUGUGAAUGCCGCUGGAAACUGUCUGACUUGAGUCCGGAAGGGGCGAGUGGAAUUCCUGGUGUAGCGGUGAAAUGCGCAGAUAUCAGGAGGAACACCAAUGGCGAAGGCAGCUCGCUGGAACGGUACUGACGCUGAGGCGCGAAAGCGUGGGGAGCGAACAGG
rnacentral:rRNA from 1 species